rnacentral:tRNA from 1 species
UGCUGUAGCUCAGCCGGUAGAGCGUCGCCUUGGUAAGGCGGAGGUCGGGAGUUCAAGUCUCCUCGGC